rnacentral:rRNA from 1 species
UGGUGAAUACGUUCCCGGACCUUGUACACACCGCCCGUCAAGCCAUGGAAGCUGGGUGUACCUAAAGUCGAUAACCGUAAGGAGUCGCCUAGGGUAAAACUAGUAACUGGGGCU